UACGUAGGGUGCAAGCGUUGUUCGGAAUUACUGGGCGUAAAGGGCGCGUAGGCGGGCCCGUAUGUCGAUUGUGAAAGCCCUGGGCUCAACCCGGGAAUGGCAGUCGAAACUGCGGGUCUUGAGUGCCUGAGAGGAUGGCGGAAUUCCCGGUGUAGAAGUGAAAUUCGUAGAUAUCGGGAGGAACACCAGUGGCGAAGGCGGCUAUCUGGACGGAUACUGACGCUGAGGUGCGAAAGCGUGGGGAGCAAACAGG
rnacentral:rRNA from 1 species